CCCGCGUGCCGUCGUGCCGGGCCGCAGGCGGCACGGCCACAGAUUCCGGUUCCUCUCGUUCGUAGUUAUAACUUUUCAGAGGAUGAAAUGGAAAUCUGAAUUUUUGUUCUGGCUUUCGGGUGUUUUGCUUUUGAAUCGUAAUUUUAGGCUCUUGCAUUGCAACGAAACCCGUGAACGACUAACAUUUGAAUUCUCACAGAAGUCUCACAGUGCGUUGAGAGCAUAAAUGGUGUAAAGGAAGGAAGAUGGAACCCUUACUUUCUACAUAUCCCUGUUAAGAGAAUGAAAGCCAUUUUAAGGCUUCACAAGGCGAGUAUCCUCGCGAUUGUCCAGGGGUUUCAAUCGAGGAACAGCCCUGCAAAUACUACUUUUUUGUUCGUGCUCAGCUAAUUGUUCUCGAGGUGGAUUCCACAAUUCAGAUGAUAGUGGAGGAAUUACAGUCUUACAAAUCUCGGGUCUCAUUUUAUUUUUAAGGAGUCUGGCUAAGCAAGGUGAGAAGACAAGGACUGGUGCAGAUGUCUAAAGGGAAGCAUAAACUAUUAAGGGCUUAGUAUCAACUUGCCAACUUCCAACUGAGGGUGGUGAAAAUUGUUCUUACUUCCUACUCAUUCUGAAAAUUUGAGAGGAAUUUUUAUGGAGGAGCAGCAAAUGGUCUAGAAGAACAGGGGAAUGAAUACGACACCCGUAUUAUUUAUCUAUAAGAACAUGGACGCCAGUCACGCCAGCAGGUUGGAUGGGAUCCUGUCUGGAGCUUUUCAGCAGUGGCAACUAUUGGCGGAACACAUUGUUGUGUGUGGUGGUGGUUGUCCAAACUCCAAACCGAAAGGCUAUGGUCUAUGAUGGGUAGUCUCCAACAAAAGUGGGUUCGUAGACCACUGAAACUCUUGUUCUUGUCUGGGAUUUGGAUGUGUUUUUCCAUCUAGAUAAAUUAUGGCGCUCGGAUGUUGUCUGCUUUCUUGGCUAUUUAGUAAUGUUGAACCCCAGUACCAUGGGCUAUGAAAUUUAGGCGUCAGAUUAGAUAUGCUGCUACAGAUUUUUGAAUGGCACCGUUUCGUUUUCCUUCUUUGCACUGUUUCUGUUUGUUUGGUGGCCAUACUGCUAGAGUGGAGUGAAAUUCCAAAAUAUGGGUCCUGGAAUCUGGGGAGACAGGAGUAGUUUCAACUUUUAUGGCAUGCAGGCGAGCCCGUGGGCACCGGAGCCCAGCCUACUAUGUAAUGUACUAUCUGCUUGCUUUUUCUUCUCAUCUAAAAUUGAACCAACACCGCUUGAGUUGAGUUGGGCAUAGGUUUGGGGGUUUUAAGACGGAGAAAUUACAUGGCAAAAUAGACCGA